CAGCAGCCGCGGGAAUACGUAGGGUGCAAGCGUUAAUCGGAAUUACUGGGCGUAAAGCGUGCGCAGGCGGUUAUAUAAGUCAGAUGUGAAAUCCCCGGGCUCAACCUGGGAACUGCAUUUGAGACUGUAUGGCUAGAGUGUGUCAGAGGGGGGUAGAAUCCCACGUGUAGCAGUGAAAUGCGUAGAUAUGUGGAGGAAUACCGAUGGCGAAGGCAGCCCCCUGGGAUAACACUGACGCUCAUGCACGAAAGCGUGGGGAGCAAACAGGAUUAGAUACCCCCGUAGUCCCUGUCUCUUAUAC
rnacentral:rRNA from 1 species